GUGAGGAAUUUUCCGCAAUGGGCGAAAGCCUGACGGAGCAAUGCCGCGUGAAGGAUGAAGGCCUAUGGGUUGUAAACUUCUUUUCUCAGAAAAGAAUUAUGACGGUAUCUGAGGAAUAAGCAUCGGCUGACUCUGUGCCAGCAGCCGUGGUAAGACAGAGGAUGCAAGCGUUAUCCGGAAUGAUUGGGCGUAAAGCGUCUGUAGGUUGUUUAAAAAGUAUUCUGUCAAAGAUUAGGGCUUAACCCUAGAUAGGCAGAAUAAACUUUUAAGCUAGAGUUUGGGAGAGGCAGAGGGAAUUCCCGGUGGAGCGGUGAAAUGCGUAGAUAUCGGGAGGAACACCAAAGGCGAAGGCACUCUGCUGGGCCAAUACUAACACUGAGAGACGAAAGCGAGGGGAGCAAAUGGGAUUAGAUACCCUUGUAGUCC
rnacentral:rRNA from 1 species